rnacentral:rRNA from 1 species
UACGAAGGGGGCUAGCGUUGCUCGGAAUGACUGGGCGUAAAGGGCGCGUAGGCGGAUGGCACAGUCAGAUGUGAAAUUCCCGGGCUUAACCUGGGGGCUGCAUUUGAUACUGGAUGGCUUGAGUUCGGGAGAGGGAUGCGGAAUUCCAGGUGUAGCGGUGAAAUGCGUAGAUAUCUGGAGGAACACCGGUGGCGAAGGCGGCAUCCUGGACCGGCACUGACGCUGAGGAGCGAAAGCCAGGGGAGCAAACGGG